AGUGGACUGAGCUACAGAUCAAGUUGCUCCAGUUGUACUGGGAAAGUAGCUGCGCCCUCCGCUCUGGUGUUUGUUUAUUGUUAAGGAAGCCCCAGUUUACUUCCAAGUACUGCGUAUGUACUUCGGAUUGAAACUGAAGGAUAAUUUGUGAACUCCUUUGGGUAAUCUACGGUUGAUGAGUUUAUGUGUGUGAAGAAUUGAAAAAAGUGACCGAAAGUGCAGAUGAAGCUGAAUGAAUUGUAGUAUUGUACAUUUAAUAUUAAAACAAAUCGCAUUUUAGUAGAUUAAAAGUGCAUUUUACUGGUGCUUGAAAUCUUUUGAGUUCAUGUGGUCUGCUAAAGUUGUACUAUAUUUUGUUUUCUCUGCCUUCCUUUGUCAAUACAUUUUCAUCUUCAAACAGGCAUUGCUUAGUUUGAUUCCAACCUUAAUCUACUUCAGAUUUUAAUUGUACUGUAUUUGAAGUUUAAAUUGUUGAUGGAUCUAAUGGAGAUAUCUUUCUUGUAGUUCUAAAAAGGAUAAGCUCCCCAAUUUUAAAAUGUAACUUAUGUUUCUUGGCUCUUUUUCGCAAACUCCCAGAGAUCAAUGUUAUCUAUUAAUCUUUUUAACACUCAAUGUUAGGAAGACCAUUAAUAUCACUUUAUGUAUUAGCUGACCUUGUAAGUCAUUUCUAAUGCGUUUCAGAACAGAGGCCAUAGAGAUUCAUUAUUUAUAGUGAAGGUUUAUCAUCUGUCCUUGGGAAAAGUAUAAAAACAUUCUUCUGAAUCAUUUAUCCAUCUUGACAAGAUAUGUUGUAAGAACUGCAGACUGUUUAAAAGAUUUCUCUUAAACAUUUUUUUUUGGGUGUGCUACUAUAAUUCAACUUCCAGUUCUUGCUCACCGUAUUUCUAUUGCAGAUUUUAAAAAAAACCUUUUGGGAGUGUGUGCGUGUGUGACAAAUUUUGUAUUUCAUACUUAUAGCAUAUUGUAAAUAUUAUCUCUGCUGUUGAAGGGUAUUGGAAAUAUUGGGCUAUAGUAAGAAUAUUUCUGGAAUAAGUUUAAAACUUUGUAAAUUUGUUUGACUAAGACCAAAAUGUUUUUGCUGAAACCAGAUGUUUGCAUUUUUCAAAUGAAGUUGAAAGUCCCACAAUAUUUUCUGUGCACCCCCGCCCCCCCAAUCAGUUAUGUUCCAGGAUUCUCAAGAAAUUUAUCAUUACAACUUCAUCCUAUAAUAUGCUGUUAAAAACCUUGGGAAAGAAAUAUUUUCAUCCCACUGAAACCGUUCUAAAACAGGAAAUUGCUUUACUCGAUUAAACAUAACUAAUAGAACUAACAUCAUUCUGCCUACUGAUACAAAUAUUCUUUUUCAGGAAAUAGAUAUCGAUUAUGUACAUAUAGAUAUUGAGGUUCACAUAACUUAUAGUGAAAUACUAGCAUUAAGAAGUUUGCAGGCAUUACAGUACUACACGCUGACCAAAUUUCAGAAAACUUUCUCUCCCCCUCAAAAGUGGUGACAUUUAAUUGACCUUUGAAGGCUCAUUCUGUUAAUCAUACUCAGUGCACUAAAGCUAUGGUCCACUGAUCUGGUGUUCUUCCAUUUAACCGUGUUCAGCAUAUAAAUUCUGCAGCCUAAUUGCUACUUAUUGAGCAAGAGUUUCUUUUCUUUUCUGAAAAUAGGAGAAACUCGCUUUGCCUGAGGCAGGGCACUUGUAGAGUUCUAAUUCAGAAUGCUUUUCUGUCAUUAGUUGGAGGGUGUGGCUUCUAGUUAGGAAAGGGGUGGAAAUUCUUUUCUGAUUAAACGGCUUUUUAUGUUUCCUGAAGCGGUUUCCAAUGGCUAGAUGGAUAACUUUGAAUGUACUGUUUGUGCAGUGAAGAACAUAUUCUUAAAAACAUUUUCUGACCUAUAAUUCUUUGCAUUUAUUUUCUUGGCACACUUAGUUUCAUAUUUUGAAACAAGUUAGGUUAAAAUAGUAUAGAAACAUAGGGAAACAAUUAUGGCAAAUGCUACCAUUUUUUUCCGUAUGUUAGUGUGUACAGAGCUGAAAAUAUUACAAAAAUAUCCAUCACUUUCCCCAGUUCCAAAAUAUUGAUUAAAAAUACCUGCUUUCAUAUCAAGGCUGCUUUUUAUACACAGUCGGCUUUCCCAAAAAUAAUGUGUAUGAACAUACAUAAACUAUCCUAUUUGGGAGGGCAGUUACUGGAGCAUUUAACUUGGUACUAGUUAAUUGGCAGAACUUUGUAUUUCAGCUGAGUGCAUUUGGAACUUGCUAUUUUCUCAUUUUAGGACAUAAUUGUUUCUGAAUAGCUAGAUUUUGUAUCCUUUUUGUUUGUAAUAGAAUUCUGUUCAGCCAGUGGUUAAAUUAUUAAGAUGCUUAAUAAUUUGCUUCUUAUUCAUGUUAAUUUGUCAGUGUAGCUGAAAAUAAGAAGUUUUCAGUAAGAGAUACUGGGUUUCUACAGUUAUUUAUUUCUAAGCCAGUAUAAGUAAACUAUAGAGAUUUUGGAGAUUUUCUUCUAAAAUUCUACUUAUAUUUAGCAUGAAUGAAGCUUUAUCCUGCAUUAAGAUAAUUGUAAUCUAAUCUACAUAUGUGCAUAGAAAGGUAGAUGCUUAAAACACCAAAACUAGAGAUAUAUAAUUAAAAUCUCAUCUCACAGUAUGAUGUUUAUUAUAUAAAUGCAAAAGUAAGAGCACUGUUUGUCAUCAGUAAAUUUGGGGCUUAUGUCCUAGUUGUGAAGCAUUUCAUUCAUAGAUCCCUUAAAAUGUGGAUGUUACUUCUGCUUGGUUGCUGUGAUCAGUAAAGUUGAAAUUGUUCCCCAAAAGGGAAAGAUAAAUUGUAAUAUUUACUUCAGUGCUUUGACAUUAAAACACAAGAAUGUUUGUUGUAUUUUGCUUGAAAGGCAACCUGAUUGAAGCUAAAUAUUGGUAUAAAUAAAUCCCCUAGAAUAUGAUGGGACUUUCCAAUAGAUUUUUGGGGAUUAACAUGAGCUCAUAGUUUCAUACGGUUGGUUGUAGAAUAGCUUCUUUUCCUGGCUAAUGAACCAAGUUACUUUCAAUUUCCAUGUAUAAAUUAUUUUUUAGUCAUUUAAAUCAGUCCCUUCAAACUUAUCUCAAGAUGUUGUUAGCUACAUCUAUGAAAAUCGAUAUUAAAUUUAUUUGCCGCCUACUUUACUAUGAGGUGGCUUACAACAAGUGUAAUAAAUGAUCAAGUAUGUAUAUCUAAAUCAAUUCAUUCUUUAAUUCUUACAGGCUGUGUUUGCAUGUAUGCUAAGCUGUACUUUACAUUUGUAAAAUAAAUCACAGUGAUUAAAUGUAUAUAAUGCUAAAAUGAAUAAUAAUGUUUUCAGUUGGCACCAUUAUGUGAUUUUGUGGACACUUGGAAAAAGGUCCCUAUUUUUAAAAAAACUUUAAAUAAUUUUUGAAUUAUUUAAAAACAAACACUUAAACCACAUUUUAUAUUCUUGGUUGAAGAUUAUAAAAUGGAUAACCUGGAAGUGUUUGCUUCCUUCUAAGGUGAAUGCUUAUGUGCCGAUCACUGGUGAGUUGCCCCCGGUUAGGACCGGUUCUAUAGAACUGGUAGUAAAACUGGCGGGAGGCUCUGCCCACUGACCCAGAUGUCAUCAUAGGUGAUCUGUGCAUGCCGGUUGCGAACCGGUAGUAAAGGAAGUUGGAUGACAAGAACAGUGAUCCUAAAAAAUGUAUGAGGUGUCUUAGGUGUUCAAAAAAGAAGAUUGGAUUGCUGUUGUCCAUAUUGAGGAGCCUUCCAUCUGUGACCAGAACAUAUAUAUCCUUAUUUUGAAUGAUCAAAUUUACAAGUUGCUCAGAUCAAGUUACACCAUGCAAUUUGCAUACCUGGGGACAGGUGAUGAGUUGAUUGCUGGUAUAGUAUAAAAGGCAGCAUCUAAAUGUUUGUACUCUAUUCCUUCUUUAAGCAGUUAAGCAGUCCUUUGGAGGUUAUUUUAUUCCCAGAUUGGAUUUGUAAGAUAGAUACUGAUAAAAACUACGCUGGGGUUAUGUUUGAUGCAGCUGAUUUGUUUAAAGCCUAGAAGGGGUUUAAAUUAAAAGUUGGAAAGAAACUUUAACCUGCUAUUCCAGCUCUCAAAGCUCUCUUGAUAUUACUUGUUGUCUGUCACCACUCCAUCCAUUUUUAGCUCUGUUAGUUUUCCUUUGUCAUUGUUCCUGUGUGUACAAUGGACAUUUUCCAAAACGUAAGGCAGAAACAUUUUAGGAAGGGUAAACUUAGGUCAAGAACAUCCAGUUUAUUAAAAAGGGAACCCAGCUUUCCAGUCUUUAUUAGACAAAGCAAGAUUUAUGCCUUUCUGUGUUUUUAUAUUGGUCAUUAGAUGAAAAUCAAAUGAAAAUCUGCAGUGAAAUGACAAACCAAAUUUAAUUACUAAGUUUUCUGUGACAUAUGCCUUUUCUUUCCAAGCUACAGUCUUCUAUAUUUGAACCAUGUUUCUCGGACAUAUCCUGAAAAAUUAAUGUUUUACAGAUUUAUUCUGUCAGUAUGAUUUACUUUUAUGUAUUAGAGCAACGUAACAACUUUUUUCUAACAAUAAAAUGAUUAAAGAAAUUUGAUUGUUUGAAAUUUGAUUUGAUUUGACCACAUUGCAGUAUUUCCUAAUGUUUAAUUUGAAGAGUUUCAUUCCAAUAAUUUAAAUAGGUAUUUAUUCAUAUCAAGCUAAAUAUUACCCAUUUUCAUCAUUUACUCUUGUUUUGGGUUAGAAAGCAAUCAUUUUGAGAACUGGUAAAGUAUUAAACAAAGUUUAAAUUAAACUUUACACUGAAAGCUUGGGUAAAAAUCUAUGCAACCAAAACAUUUUUCAAAUAAGUAACCUAGGGUUUUUUGGUGUUUUAGUUUGUUAAAAUGAAACUGGUACUGGAUAUGUUGUUUAAAUAAUAUUUCUGUGCUUGAAUGAUAUUCAAGAAGUGACUUAUUUUAGAUAAAGUUAUUGAUGUAUCUGGUUUAAUUCUUUUGUUUCCUGGACAAGAUUAAAAUUUAUUUACAUGUUUACAUACACCCAUAAACUGUUAAAUUAUAGCUUAAUAUGAUAAUAAUACACACAUAUUAAUAUACACAUAUUUUAAAUGGGUUACCCAGAAAAAAAAUUAGUUUUGAAAAAUGACAUGUUGCCACUAAGUCUCAGCAGCCUGAAGAUUGAAAGGUGUCUUACAGUGAUGAAUGUUUCAGAAUUUAUCUUCUAAAGAAAUGACAGACGCUGAGAAAGAAUUGAGACCUGUAGCCCAGAUGCAUGCCACAAAAUGUCACUUGUGGGUACCCUUUUCCCUGAAGGCCUUCUCCUCCCUGAAAGCUCCAUGAUUCUUAGUAACAGUGUACCUUCUCCCAUGUAGGAAAAUGGAGAGCCUUGUUGCAUUUCAACUUUUCCACAUUGCCUCCUGCUUCAUGCUGCCUAAAGAAGGCAGUCAUUCAAUAACCCUGUGCAGAGGGAAAAGAGGAAAUGGAGCAAGGACUGUGAGGGGAGCAUGGCUUUACGUCAGAUCUUCUACUAUGGGGUAUUGUGUUCUCCCUCUCCCGAUAAGCUAAUGGUCACAUUGGUGUUAGAGUCGGGUAAGAAAUAAAUGUGCCGAUUUUCGUAAUUAAAUGUCAGUGCCUAUAUCACAGUGGUUCUCAGACUUUGCAAGCUGGGUUUGUGAGAGCAAAUAAGCAGAGCCCAGAGCACCUUUUGUCUGCUUAAGCUUGAUCAGUGAUGUGAUGGUGGUUUUUACUUGUGAUUCCUACAUUGCUUGUGAAUUCCCAAGGGGUCCUGACCACAGAUGGCAAACUCCUGCCAGAAAAAACAAUUUUACUGGAAUGCUUUAAGAUAAUUGUAACUGCUGCUCUACAAUUAAAUCAACUUGGCAGCUUUAUAUAUCUAUUUCUUUAAAAAAUUAUUGGGGAUAAAUAAUCUAUAUUAUGUCUGCAAUUUUUACUUGCACUAAAGCCAUGAUCCCCAACUUUUCCAACUCUGUAGAUUGGCAGCGGUGGCGGGCAGUGGCAGUGUGGGCAGGCGGAGAGGAUGGUUUUGCAUGUGCAAUGGAGCUUCACACGCUCACACGCUGCUUGCAUGGCGCAGUUCCCAAUGGGCCAUGGACCAGUCUAUGGACUGGGGGCCGGGGACCCCUGCACUAAAGAAUUGAUUAAAUAGGUUGACAAAGUUGUGGCAUUUUGGCCAUCUGGGUACCAUAUUUUUUUUCUUUCAAAUGAUACUGUGAUGAAGAUAAAAACAGAUCCUCAGUGUUUUGGAUGAGUGGAAACAUGUAACUUUAUUUUAUUAAUUUAUUAAUUAAAUUUCUAGACCGCCCUUCUCCCGAAGGACUCAGGGCGGUGUACAGCCAUAUUAAAAUACAUAAAUAGACAAUAAAUUUAAAAUAAUUUUAAAAUGAAAUAUUUAACCGGCCAAUUUAACUAAAAAUAACAAAACCAAUUAAAAUCAGUACAAAAUUUAAAAUUUAAAAUUUAAAAAACUAAAAAAUCUAAUCCAGUCCUGCGCACCUGAAUAAGUGUGU